GGGAAUGUAUGUCAGUGUGGCACAGGCAGUAAGAGGAUUAUGGGAUGGCAGCCGAAGCAUGGAGUGGAGAGGAAGAUUGAAAGUGUGCUGUGCAUGAGUCAGUGAGAGUUGUACAACAUCUCUCCCCAUGCAGCGGUCUGUUUACAUGGCACUGAGGGAGGGUGUGUGUGUGUAUGCAGAAGGAGAGAGAUGGUAAAAUGGUUUUGGUUUCUCAAAAACUGCAAGAGUGAACUUAAAAAAAAUAUCUUAGGUUUUUUGUUUUGUUUUGUUAAUAGUGUUGUUUUGGACCCCACUGACUGAUAUGGACAAAAACAUAUGAAAAAAAUAUAUUUUUUUGUGUUCUGCAGAAGAAAGAAACAUCAGCUUGGCCCAACUGAAAGACAAUCUGACAACCAGACUGGUUUAAGUGGCUUUUUGCAGCAGGGAAAAGAACAAUUUAACAAAAUAUUAAAUUCCAGCAACCCCUGGGAGUUUGGACCCUGGCACAGGCUCAUGGAGAUGCUGGUUGAGGGGGCUUGGCAGAACAGCAAGGUCAGCAGAUCUGUCGUGCCGCAGUGGCUCGGAGGACUCAGCCCAUUCCCACCUCUGGCCAGUAAUCCGCCCCAGCAUCCGCCACAGUCCAACCAGACACAUCCGCAGCUGUGCCAAACUAUUCUAACAUAUCCAGCAAGUGAGAAAUGCAAUGCAUUCAGUUUUAAUGCAUUCAGUUUUAAUGCAUUAAGUUCCUCUUUUAAGGAAUGAAAGCAAAAUAAAAUAUAGCAAAGAUGUUUUAUUGAUGUCUUCCCUUGGUCUUUUGAAUAGCAUUCCUAUCGACUGUGUAUAUCACUAGGUAAUGUUUGUUGAGCUUCAAUGAUAAUUUAGUUAGAUCAAAAAACUGUGAAUAACUUUACUUUUGACUAAAUUCCCAUCUGUGGAUUUCUUUAUAGAGCUGUUCUGAAGGAGCUGUUCUUUUGCCAUCAUUUACUGAUAUUCUUGCAAGUUUCUAACUUUCAAACCAGACUUUAGAUAUUGCACAGAACAGAUUGAAGCAGCAAGGUCAGUUGAGGUAAAUGUGUUGACUUCAGAGUGCACAACCCCCCCACCCCACCCCAAAAAAUAAAAUAAAUAAAUGCAUCAAGGAGGUUAAUAUGUACUGGAUUCCAUAGUUUUCUUAAAAGAAAAGGCAUUUUCUUUAUUAACAUUGUGAUUAAAAUUUAAAUGUUUCAUUGAUGCUUACUUGUUCACGCCCCUUGUACAUAUACACCAAAAUGUACAGUUCACCCAAAAAAGAAAAUUCUGUCAUCAU
rnacentral:lncRNA from 1 species